rfam:TPA: Bos taurus chromosome 16, whole genome shotgun sequence.
UCCCUAAUAGCUCAGUUGGUAAAGAAUCUGCCUGCAAUGCAGGAGACCCUGGUUUGAUUCCUGGGUCAGGAA